CCGUGACCUAAACCCUUUCUCUUCUCUCUCUCGCGUGCGACGGUGUCUUUGCUUGGGCGGAACCGAAGAGGAAGCUAGGGUUUGUCUCCGGCGGCCGGUCAAGGACCAAAUCCGAGAGUCUUCCACACCGUCGUGAUCACCUCGUCGAGGAUAACCCGUAGGCACGAAGGAGAGGCUGGAUUUUUGAGUUCUCCGAAACCCUAGAAGCUGAUUUCGGUUGUAAGUCAAGGGAAUUAUAAAGGAAAAGGAAAGCUAUAGUGAAGGAAGGUGACAAGGAGGUGUGGAUGGAUGUGUGAUGUCUGGACUAUGGAAGCCUUGGGAUUUUCUUAAAGAAUUUAUUAAAAUUUUGUAUUUAGAUUGUUAGUGAAAUUUAGGUGGAUUAUGUUCUUUUUACAUUGUUAGAACUAUUCUUUCAUGUUGAUGGUUUAUUCAUAGAAUUCUUUUAUGUAUUUAGAAAUUUUUCCACUUAAAUUGUUAUACACAUUAGUUCUAUUAUUUGAGUUGUAUUAUUGUUGCA